rnacentral:rRNA from 1 species
GACGAACGCUGGCGGCGUGCUUAACACAUGCAAGUCGAACGGAAAGGCCCUGCUUUUGUGGGGUGCUCGAGUGGCGAACGGGUGUGUCACACGGGAGUAACCUGCCCUUGACUUUGGUAUAACUUCAGGACACUGGGGCUAAUCCCGGAUAGGAGCUCCUGCUGCAUGGUGGGGGUUGGAAAGUUUCGGCGGGUGGGGAUGGACUCGCGGCUUAUCAGCUUGUUGGGGGGGUAGUGGCUUACCAAGGCUUUGACGGGUAGCCGGCCUGGGAGGGUGACCGGCCACAUUGGGACUGAGAUACGGCCCAGACUCCUACGGGAGGCAGCAGUGGGGAAUAUUGAACAAUGGGCGGAAGCCUGAUGCAGGAACGCGGCGUGCGGGAUGACGGCCUUCGGGUUGUAAACCGCUUUCGCCGGUGACGAAGCGUGAGUGACGGUAAUGGGUAAAGAAGCACCGGCUAACUACGUG